AGAUCCCUAAAAAUCAAAAAAAUUUUAAUGAACAUUUAAUAUAAAAAUUACAAAGUGUUAAAACUAGUUAGAAAAAGGUAAAAAAUAUAAGUUUCUUAUUAAAACGUAGAUUACAUUACAUAGAACUCGCCAAUCGAAAUAAUUUAAAAUCUUAAUUUGUUUUGAAUCAAGUUGGCCAUGACUUUAUUGUGUCGAAAGAAGUUCGUAUUGUCUCAGUAAAAAAUUAUUUCACUAACGAAACUGUUAAAGAAGGAAUAACGGUCACGUUGUGCAGAAGUUCAAGGUCGGCGCAGCUAAGACUUUUCUCGUCAUGGAAAACCAGUUCCGUCUUAAGUGACAAUACAUUUUUCUGGAUGCAAUUUUUCUACUUGCGGUGAACUCGUAAUGGUAACAUUUAAGUACCGAAUAAUAAAUCGCAAUCCGGUUCCCGCAGAUUCCAAUGCAAAUUUUCGAAAGACAAGAAUAUUAAUCUUAAAACAAAGUUUAAAAUCAUCUAUUGGCACUGUUGAGCAGUGUUAAGAAACAUAUGCUUUUCGUGUUGCCACAUUUGGUUGUGCCACGUUUUGAAUCAAGUUGGCAAUGCCUUUUUCUGACAAAUGAGGUUAGGUUUUUCAUAAUGGUAAAUUAUUUCACUGCCAAGGUUCGAGCAGUUAAGACGCCUUUCGAUCCCAAAAAGCAUCAAAAUUGUGAAAAAUGUUUGAAAUCAGAAGAAGAAAACUCAAAAAAAAAAAGGAAAUCAGACCACAUGGCUUUUGCUUUUCUGGAAUCUUCAACCUUGCAUUAAUGUGAACGCAUUAAUGUGACUCAUCAAAUCCCGGCUAUGGACUUCUACAACAUUCCUAAUUCCUGUAAUUCCAGUUUACAAAUUUUUCACUAUUUUUGAAUUUUGAUAGCGGCCACGUUCUGCAGAAUAUCUGCAGAUCGUCACAGCAAAGACUUUUCUCGUCAUGGCAGACAAGUUUCUUUUCAAGGGACAAUACACUUUGGUUGUUCAGAUUUAGGUUUAGCUUAUCUCCCGGAUGCAAUAUUUCUUUUUGUACU